GGAGGGGUAUCGAAGUGGUCAUAACGAGGCGGUCUCGAAAACCGUUCGGGUCUUCGGGCCCACGUGGGUUCAAAUCCCACCCUCUCCG
rfam:Peptoniphilus sp. oral taxon 375 str. F0436 noncontiguous_finished_chromosome, whole genome shotgun sequence.